AGGAACACAAGACAAAACACUCAGGGAAAGGGAAGCAGAAGAAAAGGGAAGGAAGGAGACUAGGGACCUCAGACAAUGCAGGGGACGUGCAGGUGUUAACAUCUUGAUGCUGCUCUGCUGUGGACCCUUUCAUUAUCAUUCCAGUUUCCUCAGUAGGAAACUGGGCAGAGUCGACCGUCACUCUGCUCAGUAAAUGGACAACAGAUCUGGAGUCUGGGAAACAUUUGGCUGCAAAUGAUCCUCCAGUUAGAUCUCAGUGUGAGGAAUCAUUUGAUAUGUUCCCCCUGCAUGUGAAUGGAUUUCCUGCAUUUCUGAAUGAAACUGUAAGCCGGGAGCUUCCCUCUGGGUUUGAACAAAGACACUGUUCAAACACCCCCCCACACACACACAGACCCACACACUGGCUUUAGUGUGGUGUAUCAGGUGUUUUUGGGGGGAACCAGGAAAUAACCAGGCCCCCGUCUGAAAACCUCCAAACCCUCUGAGACCAACAUGUGACUGUUCAAAUGUCAGUCAGUGUUGAGUAACUUCCUCUGAUGCUCCUGUGCAGUGGAUUCGUUUUGAGGAAGUCCAGAAGAAUCCAGAACUUUGUUAUUGUGUCUUUGAAUCAGAUUUGCCAAGGAUAAUGCCGUCCACUUACAGACCAACUUGGACAUCAACAUGUUGUGCUUGGCUUUCAAACAUUUUGUUUACUCGACUAUAACCUGUUGUGAUUCUCAGUUGAGAGGUUGAAGAUAUACGGUAUCUGAGUCAUGCAGAUAAGAGAGUGAGAGUGCUGUUUGUCAUCCUCCUGAGUUUCUGCCAUGCUUUGUCCGUCAGAGCGCUCUGUACACACUUGCUUUUAAAGGUGAUAUAUGAAUGAGGUUUAAAAAGAAUAGAUGGAUAAGUAAGUCUCUCUUUAAGGCUGAAUUCAUGGACAGAAACAUAUUGUG